ACGCAGGUCCCUCAACUGGUACAAACCGUGCAACUUGAAACCCCGCCUGGUCUUUCCAGGUCUAGAGGGGUGACACUUUGUACUGCGCAUGACUCCACGUUCGGCCUACUGGCGGGUGCUAGUAACGGUGUUGUUGUUUCGUAGCGGAGCAUGUUGGCCGUGGGAACCCCCCCUUGGUAACAAGGACCCACGGGGCCGAAAGCCACGUCUUCCAGACCCAACAUGUGUGCAACCCCAGCACGGCAACUUCAUCGUGAACACCACCUUAAGGCAACGCUGAUACUGGUACUCAGACGCUGGUGACAGGCUAAGGAUGCCCUUCAGGUACCCCAAGGUAACAAGAGACACUUGGGAUCUGAGAAGGGGACCGGGGCUUCUGUAAAAGCGCCCGGUUUAAAAAGCUUCUAUGCCUGAAUAGGUGACCGGAGGCCGGCACCUUUCCUUUGUUAACUCUUAACUU
rnacentral:other from 1 species